UCCGAAUUGGUGUAGGGGUUAACAUUGCCGCCUCUCAGAUUACGUAAGCAAGGGUAAUAAUGCAAAACGCGGCAGCCCGGGGUUCGAUUCCCCGAUUCGGAA